rnacentral:rRNA from 1 species
UUAAAUUGAAGAGUUUGAUCAUGGCUCAGAUUGAACGCUGGCGGCAGGCCUAACACAUGCAAGUCGAACGGUAACAGGAAACAGCUUGCUGCUUUGCUGACGAGUGGCGGACGG